GACGAACGCUGGCGGCGUGCUUAACACAUGCAAGUCGAGCGGAAAGGCCCUGCUUUUGUGGGGUGCUCGAGUGGCGAACGGGUGAGUAACACGUGAGUAACCUGCCCUUGACUUUGGGAUAACUUCAGGAAACUGGGGCUAAUACCGGAUAGGAGCUCCUGCUGCAUGGUGGGGGUUGGAAAGUUUCGGCGGUUGGGGAUGGACUCGCGGCUUAUCAGCUUGUUGGUGGGGUAGUGGCUUACCAAGGCUUUGACGGGUAGCCGGCCUGAGAGGGUGACCGGCCACAUUGGGACUGAGAUACGGCCCAGACUCCUACGGGAGGCAGCAGUGGGGAAUAUUGCACAAUGGGCGGAAGCCUGAUGCAGCAACGCCGCGUGCGGGAUGACGGCCUUCGGGUUGUAAACCGCUUUCGCCUGUGACGAAGCGUGAGUGACGAUAAUGGGUAAAGAAGCACCGGCUAACUACGUG
rnacentral:rRNA from 1 species